rnacentral:rRNA from 1 species
GAUGAACGCUGGCGGCGUGCCUAAUACAUGCCAGUCGAGCGAACAGACGAGGAGCUUGCUCCUCUGACGUUAGCGGCGGACGGGUGAGUAACACGUGGAUAACCUACCUAUAAGACUGGGAUAACUUCGGGAAACCGAAGCUAAUACCGGAUAAUAUAUUGAACCGCAUGGUUCAAUAGUGAAAGACGGUUUUGCUGUCACUUAUAGAUGGAUCCGCGCCGCAUUAGCUAGUUGGUAAGGUAACGGCUUACCAAGGCAACGAUGCGUAGCCGACCUGAGAGGGUGAUCGGCCACACUGGAACUGAGACACGGUCCAGACUCCUGCGGGAGGCAGCAGUAGGGAAUCUUCCGCAAUGGGCGAAAGCCUGACGGAGCAACGCCGCGUGAGUGAUGAAGGUCUUCGGAUCGUAAAACUCUGUUAUUAGGGAAGAACAAAUGUGUAAGUAACUAUGCACGUCUUGACGGUACCUAAUCAGAAAGCCACGGCUAACUACGUG